AGAGUUUGAUUAUGGCUCAGAGCGAACGUUAGCGGCGGGCCUAACACAUGCAAGUCGAACGAGAAUGUAGGCUUCGGUCUACUAGUAAAGUGGCAGACGGGUGCGUAACACGUGGGUAAUCUACCUUCCGGCGGGGGACAACAGUCCGAAAGGAUUGCUAAUACCGCAUACGUCAGCGGCGCCUACGGGCGCUGUUGGGAAAGAUGGCCUCUCCUUGGAAGCUGUCACCGGAAGAUGAGCCCGCGCCCCAUCAGCUAGUUGGUGAGGUAAUGGCUCACCAAGGCUAAGACGGGUAGCUGGUCUGAGAGGAUGAUCAGCCACACUGGGACUGCGACACGGCCCAGACUCCUACGGGAGGCAGCAGUGGGGAAUAUUGGGCAAUGGGCGAAAGCCUGACCCAGCCACGCCGCGUGAGUGAUGAAGGCCUUCGGGUCGUAAAGCUCUGUGGGGAGGGACGAACAAAUCUGGGGCUAAUCACCCGGAUCCUGACGGUACCUCCUUAGCAAGCACCGGCUAACCCUGUGCCAGCCGCCGCGGUAA
rnacentral:rRNA from 1 species